GUUUAUGUUCAGAGCAUGUUUCAGUCUUAGGGGUCAUAGCACCUGAGGGGGCUUCAAAAAGCUCAGCAUUGCUUUACAUUAAACACCUGUUCCAUUGCAUGCUUAAACAGAUCCUGUUCAGAAGCUGAAAAGUGGUUUCUCCUGUCAGCCUAAUGGGAAUGUAAUAGGAGGAACGGUCAAUCGCCCUCAAGGUCCUGGUUUGUUUGAAAACAGUUGGUAGAGAAAGUGAGUCAGACAUGAAGGAGAAACAACUUAAGGAUUAAGGGAAGAAGCCUUGCUGGAAUUCUGCCAAAAGUUAGCACUCAGCCAAAGCUUACCAGCUUACUGAACCCAAAAAUCACUCUUCCAAGAAUUUAGACAGAGGUCUAUGGCGGUGUGUUUGAUGAAUGUCAGGGCCAGCAGUGUCAAGGUCUUCAUCAUGCUGGGACUGUAAGCUAUAUAUGGACAUGUCUGAUUCAUUCAACCACUUGCAUUCUGAAUGGACGUGGGUGUCACAAUACACGUUCCUGGGGCACAUUAACGACUAUUGCAAACCUCAACAACUCAUUUCAAUAGUAUCGGUUUGACUAAUCUAACCAAGAUGUGGCGGCAAGUUAAGUCCACUGGUUACCCUACUUACCCUCACCUAAAUAGAUUUAAAACUACACAACACAUUAGGCAUCCAAUAGGAGGGCCAAUAAGAUAGCUGACAGGAAGCAGAAAAAAAAGUGGACGGUAAGACAUACUUUUCUUGUUCACAAGCAACUUUGUGCUCAAGGCUAUGUUUUUAUGAGGAAAGAAAUAAAGAAUGCACCAGAAUUCA
ensembl:lncRNA